GAUGAACGCUGGCGGCGUGCCUAAUACAUGCAAGUCGAGCGAACGGACGAGAAGCUUGCUUCUCUGAUGUUAGCGGCGGACGGGUGAGUAACACGUGGAUAACCUACCUAUAAGACUGGGAUAACUUCGGGAAACCGGAGCUAAUACCGGAUGAUAUUUUGAACCGCAUGGUUCAAAAGUGAAAGACGGUCUUGCUGUCACUUAUAGAUGGAUCCGCGCUGCAUUAGCUAGUUGGUAAGGUAACGGCUUACCAAGGCAACGAUGCAUAGCCGACCUGAGAGGGUGAUCGGCCACACUGGAACUGAGACACGGUCCAGACUCCUACGGGAGGCAGCAGUAGGGUAUCUCCCGCAAUGGGCGAAAGCCUGACGGAGCAACGCCGCGUGAGUGAUGAAGGUCUUCGGAUCGUAAAACUCUGUUAUUAGGGAAGAACAUAUGUGUAAGUAACUGUGCACAUCUUGACGGUACCUAAUCAGAAAGCCACGGCUAACUACGUG
rnacentral:rRNA from 1 species